GACGAACGCUGGCGGCGUGCUUAACACAUGCAAGUCGAACGGAAAGGCCCUGCUUUUGUGGGGUGCUCGAGUGGCGAACGGGUGAGUAACACGUGAGUAACCUGCCCUUGACUUUGGGAUAACUUCAGGAAACUGGGGCUAAUACCGGAUAGGAGCUCCUGCUGCAUGGUGGGGGUUGAAAAGUUUCGGCGGUUGGGGAUGGACUCGCGGCUUAUCAGCUUGUUGGUGGGGUAGUGGCUUACCAAGGCUUUGACGGGUAGCCGGCCUGAGAGGGUGACCGGCCACAUUGGGACUGAGAUACGGCCCAGACUCCUACGGGAGGCAGCAGUGGGGAAUAUUGCACAAUGGGCGGAAGCCUGAUGCAGCAACGCCGCGUGCGGGAUGACGGCCUUCGGGUUGUAAACCGCUUUCGCCUGAGACGAAGCGUGAGUGACGGUAAUGGGUAAAGAAGCACCGGCUAACUACGUG
rnacentral:rRNA from 1 species